AAAUCAAGAAUCGAAAAGUAACCAGUUGUCUUUGUACAUCAGCCGUCGACUGAAGAAAUAAUAAAUCGUCGCUAUCUGCUGACAGAAGUCAUCUACCAUCUCAUCAGAAUCAUUUACCAUUCGCGAAAUUAUAGAAUGAAGGUUAUCGCUCUUCUCCUGUUGGUUAGCGUCUCGGUAGUUUAUUCCGCUCCUCAAAGUAUUGAAUUUGCCAUUAUCGAUGUGAUUAAUUCGGCUAUACCAAACGUGGUGGUGAACAUCCCAACUGCAGCCACUCGACCGGUCGUGAAUAUUCCAGCUGUGCCAUCGCAAGGAGGAGCUGCUGCUUUCGCUUCAGCUCGUGCCCCGGCUGGUUCGCAAAUUUUAACUCAGACAAGUGUGAGACGUCGCAAUGAUGACGACGACAAAAGAAAAUAACGCGAGCAAUCCAAAUUCAGAUGUAAUUAUGUUGCAAAUAUGUAAAUAAAAAAAUUUUCGGCAUGCAAUAUGGCAACAGGAUAUGAAAAUAAAUAGCAUCAUUUGAAAUUUGA